rnacentral:lncRNA from 1 species
GCCAAACUGUCCUACAAACAGGCCAUCCUCUAACCGUUAGUGUGAUAGGCAGAAUAAAGCCUCCUCCCAGACAUAUCCAUGUCCUAAUCCUGAGAGCCUGUGACUAUGUUACCUUGCACAGCCACAGAGAAUUUGCAGAUGGGAUUAAAGUUAAGGACCUUCAGAUGGGGGAAUUAUCCUGGAGUAUCUAGUUGGGCCCAAUCUAAUCACAUGAAUCAUUAAAAGCAAAGAAUCUGUCUCAGCUGUGGUCAGAAAGGGGGCGGUGACUACAGGAGAAUGAUCAGAGGGUUGCAACAUCGCUGGCUUUAAAGAUGCAUGAUGGAGGCCAGGAAUGCUGGCGUCCUCUGGAAGGCAAGAAAACGGGAAAGGGUCUUAGGAGAGUUGGACACAUUCAAAACACAAUAUGUGAUUAAGAAGAUUAAAGAUUAAUACUUAUUGAUGGAUUACUAUGUGCCAAACUUCCAACCGAAUCCUGACAACAAUUCCUUAAGAUGUGGAAACUGCAGUUCACUGAGGUUGACAUUUCCGGGUUCAUACAACAAGGAUGGGUUUGGCACCAUGACAAGAAAACAAACAAGUUAUGGACUUAGAAGAUAUAGACUUAUGGUGGAGACAGAGACAUGGAAUAAUAACCCAAAGUAGCUCAUCUUCCUAGAGCUGAUGCCAUCGAAACCUGAUCAUCUAUCAAUCUUAGUUUUAGUGGUGAAGACUCAUGGUGGAUUUUGCCUAGCAGUUCAUAAUUUGUCUCAAGGGUGCCUGAGUGUCUCAGCGUCUCCAGAAAGCCCUUCGUGGUUGUUUCUGGAAUGAGUCCCAGUGCUCACCUCACACAGGCCUAUUCUUCCUCUUCCUCCAGCCAUUGCCUGUUUGACAUGAGAUGUGUCCUUCGAUAAGUCAGUAGUGGAUUACCUCAAGGCAGGGGACAACUAAGGCUCCAAUAGAAAGGAUGAAUUGCAAGAAUGGGACAGAGAUCAUAUUCUCAAAAGGACUUUUUAAUAAAAACUCACUGAAAGCAAUUAAUUUUUCUUGAUGAUUUAAUUUUCUGCCUGGACAAAGCUGCUGUUUUAACUGUGUUUACAAAGCUUCUACUGCUGGCCAUGGCUUCUGGAAUUGGUCUCUGAUGGCUGGAUCUUUCACACUGGAGCCCUGGUUUUGAUUAUCCAAGAGAUGAAAGAAUCACUCCCUAAACCUUCCGUUGUCCACUACAGAGCUUCUCUUCCACCCCACCAUGCUGCCUUUCCUGUCAGGAUGACAACAGCAAAGACAGCAAUAAUAAAAGCUAAUGCUUACAUUAGUGCUUGUUAUGAACCCAAGGCUUCCCUAAGCAUUACAUCUAUGUUAACUCAUUAACGCCUACUCACAACCUCCUUUAUAACACCUAGGAAGCUGGGAAUAGUAACUUCUGGUCAGAGCUGUGACAGAGGCCAUUGUCAGACUGUAGAGAUUUUUGGUGCCAAAAAAUUCUUCUCAACAGGGGGCGAUUUGGCCAAUGUUUCGAAACAUUUUUGAUUGUCUCAACUGGGGGGAUGCUACUAGCUUCCAGUGCAUAGAGGCAAAAGAUGCCACACAACAUCUGGUAACCCUCCACAACAGUUAUCCAGCCCAAAAUGUCAUCAGUGCAGAGGUUGAGAAACCCUAGUGCCACAUGAUUUAAGUGCUUUUGCCCAAAUUGCCUAAAUUCAAAUCCUGCUUCUGCAGCUUACUAGCUGUGGAUCCUGGGCAAGUUGCUUAAGCUCUUUGUGUGUCCAUUUUCCCAUCUUUAAAAUGGGAAUGAAAAUAGUAAUAUUACGUCAUGGGGCUGGUGCAUGAUUAAAUGUAUUAAUGUAAGUAAAAUGUUUAGCGCAGUGUCUGGCAUGUGGUAAGGGCUCCAUAUUUUAGCUUUUAUUUUUAUUAUGUAGAGCCUUUCUGGCCUUAGGGAGACAGAUUUAGGCUUCUUUUUAGUCUUGAUAGAAGUCUUGAGAGGACAUUUUCAGUCCAUGCCAUCCCAGGGAAUAGUUUUUGUCCAUCUAAAUCCUAAAGAGAAUACUCUAUCUUAGCCCACUAGGAAGUUUAGGAAAAGUUAUCCUUGAUGUGUUUUAAUGCAAUGUCUCUUUGUCAUCUUUUUUUCUGCACCCUGUUUUACAAUAAAAAG